GGCGGAGGGCGCGCGGCCUGAGGCCUUCCUCUGCCCGUUCUCGGGGGGCUGGGCCUCCUCAGGCCUGGUGUGGCCAUCUCCUCAUCACACUCUCUGCCCUGUUCCCAGCUGACCUCUGUUUCCAGCCUCACGCGGACUCGCAGGGAAAGAAAAGAAGAGAGUAAUCCUGAUAACUUUCCAGAGGAAAUUGUGAAAGGGAAGCUGGCCCCUGUCAUGUGGGCAUGGGAAUGGUUGAAGCCAGCAGCUCUGAGAAUGAUGCUCACCAUUCUCCUGCACAGAUGUGGCAGCCCAUGCUCCCAGGCUACUGAGCAUCCUCUGAGAGUGAAACCUUCCUGCAGCCCUCAAGUAACCUGGCACCCAAGUUCCAACACUGGCAUCUCCUACUAGGAGAGAACAUGGAUGCAGUCCCCCACUACCACAAACUACACACUCGAGUUUCCCACAUUUGGGGGAAAUCACAGAGGUUAGCACAUCUGGAAUGCAAUGGAUGAGCCUUGCCCUGGGAAAGCCAUCUUCAUUAUCAUGGUUUCUCUCCUACCAGUUUGCUGCUUUCUUCCCAUGCGGAGUGAAGUGAGGAGCCUUCGGUUCUCCUGCCCUGCACAC